rnacentral:rRNA from 1 species
UGGGGAAUCUUGGACAAUGGGCGCAAGCCUGAUCCAGCCAUGCCGCGUGUGUGAAGAAGGUCUUCGGAUUGUAAAGCACUUUAAGUUGGGAGGAAGGGCAGUAAGUUAAUACCUUGCUGUUUUGACGUUACCGACAGAAUAAGCACCGGCUAACUCCGUGCCAGCAGCCGCGGUAAUACAGAGGGUGCAAGCGUUAAUCGGAAUUACUGGGCGUAAAGCGCGCGUAGGUGGUUUGUUAAGUCAGAUGUGAAAGCCCCGGGCUCAACCUGGGAACUGCAUUUGAAACUGGCAAGCUAGAGUUGGGUAGAGGGGAGUGGAAUUUCAGGUGUAGCGGUGAAAUGCGUAGAUAUCUGAAGGAACACCAGUGGCGAAGGCGACUCCCUGGACUCAAACUGACGCUGAGGCACGAAAGCGUGGGUAGCAAACAGGAUUAGAUACCCAGGUAGUCCCUGAGCGGGCUGGCAAGGCGCAU